rnacentral:rRNA from 1 species
AGAGUUUGAUCCUGGCUCAGCUCGAACGCUGGCGGCAUGGUUAAAACAUGCAAGUCGAAGGAGAAGCCUCUUCGGAGGUGGACACUGGCGAAAGGGCGAGUAAUGCAUUCGAACGUGCCCCAAGGUGGAGGAUAGUGUCGGGAAACUGGCAGUAAUACUCCAUGUGCUCUACGGAGGAAAGCUUCGGCGCCUCGGGAGCGGCGAAUGUCCUAUCAGGUUGUUGGUGAGGUAACGGCUCACCAAGCCAAAGACGGGUAGCGGGUGUGAGAGCAUGACCCGCCGCAUCGGAACUGAGACACUGUCCGGACUCCUACGGGAGGCUGCAGUAACGAAUCUUCCGCAAUGCACGCAAGUGUGACGGAGCAAUGCCGCGUGUGGGAUGAAGCGGCUUCGCCGUGUAAACCACUGUCAGGUCCUAGAAAGAACUGAUCGGGACCAAAGGAAGGGCCGGCUAAUCUCGUGCCAGCAGCCGCGGUAAUACGAGAGGCCCGAGCGUUGAGCGGAAUCACUGGGCUUAAAGGGUGCGUAGGCUGAUUGGAAGGUAUCUUGUGAAAUCCCACAGCUCAACUGUGGAACUGCAG